UGGCUGCAGAGUCCCCGCAGCUUCCAUCCAAAUCUGCCCUGCCCGCCCACCAAUAUACUCGGAGAAUCCACCCAGUCCAAUCCACUCCCUUCCACACUCUUCUGCUCCCUUCCGUCCUCACCUCCGCUUUCCACGCCUGUUGUCCACCCGCAUCGAGACAGGCGACAACACCGGCCACCAGCGGGCCGCAGCGGCGGCCGCCGCACACCUCUUCCUCCUCCUCUCCCUCCACCUCUCUCUCUGUUCCCAAGGCGGCAAAAGGGACGACGUGGUUGCGGGCGGCGGCGCGGUUGCGACCCUUGCGGGUGGCACGUUGGCGCAGCUAGGGUCCCGUGGCCCCUUUCCUCUCCUCCAUCCUUCGACAUGGGCUGCUCAAUGCCUCCUCCCACCGGAGAACGUCUGCUCCUCGGGUUGCUGAAACCCUAGCUACCUAUAUGCGUGCUGCAAAUGGGUUACCUCUUCUGAUCUGGUUUCUUUUUUGUUUUUCUGGAUUGAUUUCAGAUUUGUUGCUUCUCUUUCCUAGGGUUCAUCUAUGAUUUCACGGGUAUAAAGAAAGGGAGUUCCAUUUUGAUGCUGUUAUAGUGUUUUAACUCUACAAACCUUGCGGGCUCCUAAAAGAGAACCAAUGCCCACGUCUCCUGCAAUUACUUUAGCCAUUUGAUCCCCUCCAUUAACGGCCCACAUCAGCAACGUCAAGAUUUUUAAGAGCUGAUUCGAUUCACCUGACUGGAUUUAGGGGAUUCCUUGUUGGAUUCCUUCGAUUUUGUCUUCUUGGCAUAAUAUAUACGCAUAUGCCCAGGCUGCUGAUUAAUUUAUUUUAUACCGAGCAUAUGUCAUUGCCGAUGAUGUAGUUAUUCCAGUUUCAGUAUACGACAAUGCCUAUAGAGUUGACCAUAUUUUCAUGCCAUUGCUAUUUUGUAUUUUCCUAUUCACCAUAUUUCAAUACCAUUGAUGCUAGAACAAAGUACCUUUUUUGGUAAUAUGCAGUUAUGAUUAUCGCCCUUUUAUGAUCAUAUCUUAUGAUGAGCACUUAGGCCUUUAUGAUAAUUCGAUUCAACUUCUGCUGAAUUGAGGCAUUUAGCAUAUGCUAGAACAAAGUAUCUUUUUUUAGAAUAUGCAGUUAUGAGUAUCACUCUUUUUAUGAUGAUGACUACUUAGUCCUUUAUGAUAAUUCGAUUCGACUUCUACUGAAUUGAGGCAUUGGGCGUAUGGAAUGAUGAGAACAUUACAUAUACAUGGUCCUCUUUUUAAUUGUUAAUAAUGAGCUGAGGCAUUUUGGCACAUGCAAUGAUGACCUACUUUUUCCUAGCAACAAUCAAAUCUUUUUUUAUGCUCUUCAUUGCUAUGUGCCGAAAAAGUCCAUUUUGUUUGAAGAUAAGCUUGUGUUGUCAUGAAUAAUGAUUUCUUUCACAAGUAUAUGUCUGCUCUUUGUGUUCUUAGCGAAAAAGAUGUUGUGUGUGUAUGUUUAUGCCUCUCAAUUUUACCUUCCAUAUGUGAGCCUUGUUUAUUUUCCAUUGUUUUCCCAUUGCUUCAGCCAUAACUAUAUUUUGUUCAAAAUUGACUUUGCAUUUGUUUAUAUCUGUUCAGCUCCACUUAUCAGCCUUACAUGAAUCUUGUUUGUGUUAACCUAUUACAGCUUUGGUCUUCAUUUCAUUGUAGUUUGCUGUGCAGUUUUAGCUUGUGCUUUGCCUUUGCCCCUCUCUUUUACAUCCUAAUUAUCUUGCUCUGUCUCUCCACUUAUCCAACUGAGCCUUAGUACUUCCUUCAGACCCAUUCACUUUGGGUGUUAGUUUGUUCUAUAGGGUUGUACAUUCUUCAGUUAGGUAAAAGCCAAAUAUUCUGAGAACCUCUCAUCCUGAUUGUGUGACUUUUAUUUACUCAUCGUACUGUGUACAUGUCAAAUAUCAGUAGUCUUCUAUUUUUUUAGGUGCAUCCAAUCAGAUACCAAGUAAGAGGAUGAAGAAGGACUUAACAUGCUUUUACACUAAAUGGAAACGUGAGGAGCUUAACUCCAAAAUGCUAUAACUGGGAGCUUUAUUUUGGAUUUUGUUUUACCUUCUGCACUUUUCAAACUUGAUAUUGAUGUUCCAGGAUUUGCGUGUUUAAUAUGCUAUUCAGUUAGCUUCAAAUUCUGUAAGGUCCUUAGCAUAAUUGGCCUAGCAUAAACAAAUAAUCCUAUUUCAUGCUCCUAAAAUUACACCUUGUUUUAUACUAUCUUCAUGCCAUUUAAUUGCAUGUCCCUUAUCACUAAAUUUUGAACUGCUAUAAAUUCAGUUGGUAAGGCAGUAUGACUAAAGUAGUUGUUUAUAGUGCAUCCGUAUGCUUAGUUCUUGUUCUCUGUUAUUGUGCUCUUGGCAACAACUCAAAUACUUGAAGUUGAUUCAAAUUUCUUUAAGAAUUAUUUCAGUUUCACUAGAGCAUCUUCUGUUUUCUAACGCUGGCUAAGUGAAUCAGCUGACACACUGCUAACGACCUGCGGAACUUUCGGACAAGGGUGGCCUACAGUCUCAGCACAACAACGAACUGCAGAGUUCCAGUAGUUAACGUCAGGUAUCUUGGACCGACAAAAUGUCUACCUCAUCAUUUUUGUGAUAUGCACAGGCACUUGCUUCACAUGAAGAAAAUAAAUGAUAUGUCAUGUGCAUGUUAAACUCUUUGUAUUAUUAGAACAUACCUCCGAGGUAAGAACACUAGAUUAGAAGACUGUUAUGUAUAUUAGCCGAACAAUUGUAUCCUUUGGUAGCACCAGUUUGCCAGUGUAUUUUCUAGCUUCGUUAGUCAGCUAAGACCACCUGGAACUUUCAAGAAGCUUAUAUGCUUCUAUAUUAGUUGACUGAACAGCAUGUUGUGUACUGAACUGUUGCAUAUAUAAUAAUUAUAUAAAUUAUGACUCUAUUCACCGUUAUAUAAAUUAUGAGUUGCUGGGUUGCUAACACAGGUAAAGAUAUGUUGGCAUUUGCCGCUUUGGAUUCAUUUAGUACAUACAUUUUCUAUACUAUGUCCUUCUCUGUUUGACCUUGUUCUGAAUCCCUAUUUUUCCUUGUAGCGUGCACUUCCUUAGCUACAAGAUUUACAUGCCUAGGCUCAACAAACAAUGCAGCUACUAACUCCCUCUUUCCUUCACAAAACCCUUUGUAAGUCCCUGGUCAGCAACAAAUGCAGUAUAAGCCUUGUCAUGGAUGUUUCCAGCUAUAUAGGUGUGUUACUAUGCAGGAGGUUAUAUCAAAUCACUGAACUAAACAUGGGAAACUUUCCUUUGGCACCUUACAGAAGAGCAUACAAGGUGCAGAUUGUGGUUGCCCUAUGCAGUGUUGUGCUUCAGUGAGACUCAGCGAUUUUAUGUGCUUGUAGCCAUGGUUUGUUAAAAUAGAAGCUUCGUCAGAGUCCUCAUAUUUAAUCGCUCACUGUUGGCAUUUUAAAAAUCAAAACAACGGAACCACGAUUAGGGACAUGCGAAAAUUGAGGUGUCAGGCUAAUUCAAGCGAUCAAGACUACAAAUGAUGAACCCAUCUUCAAAUCAAACAACUUUAGAUCAAGACUGCAGGCAAUGAAUCGAUGGGUGAAUCUACAAAAUCACUUACAACAAUUAUAUGGGACUUCAAUAUGGGUUCACAGAUGGUGAUUUUUUAAGGCUCUGUUAAGGGCUCGAAAUCAUCCCUGCACUUUGUAAAUUACAGCGACCUUGUAGGGUAGGCCGUAAACUACCAAUGCCACUGCCAUAUAACGGCACCUUUGUACUUUAUAACUAUUCUGCAAAUAUAUAUCAGUGAAGGUACCUUAACGAUGCAAAUGAUA